rnacentral:rRNA from 1 species
AACGAACGCUGGCGGCAUGCCUAACACAUGCAAGUCGAACGAAGCCUUCGGGCUUAGUGGCGCACGGGUGCGUAACGCGUGGGAAUCUGCCCUUGGGUUCGGAAUAACAGUUAGAAAUGACUGCUAAUACCGGAUGAUGUCUUCGGACCAAAGAUUUAUCGCCCAAGGAUGAGCCCGCGUAGGAUUAGGUAGUUGGUGGGGUAAUGGCCCACCAAGCCGACGAUCCUUAGCUGGUCUGAGAGGAUGAUCAGCCACACUGGGACUGAGACACGGCCCAGACUCCUACGGGAGGCAGCAGUGGGGAAUAUUGGACAAUGGGCGAAAGCCUGAUCCAGCAAUGCCGCGUGAGUGAUGAAGGCCUUAGGGUUGUAAAGCUCUUUUACCAGGGAUGAUAAUGACAGUACCUGAAGAAUAAGCUCCGGCUAACUCCGUGCCAGCCGCCGCAGUAACAC